AAUAACGAAAUGAAGGUACUGGUACAAAGCACAUCAAACCCAGAAGACGACAAUGUGUCAAGCUUCACACAGGGCGGUGACUGAAUGCUGCUUGUUACCACUGUGUGGCACUAGUGGUUGUGCUGCUGUAACUCAGGAAAUGAUCCUUGCACCACCUGUCCAGUAUGCAAGCCUCGUCGAGAAGAUCUUGCUUGGUAAAGUCACACACUGCUAAAAUAUGUGUGCAAGGCAGAGUGUGCUGGUUAUAAAAAGCACAUGUGCAAGAAGUCAAACACAUUGAAACUGUACUGUGAUCUCGGUGAAAUUGCAACAUAAAAAUUAGGAGUGGAAGUGA